UUGGGAGCUCACUGGUUCGGAGUCGUAGGAACUCCGAAGUUAAGCGAGUUGGGGGCCAGAGCAAUCCCAGGAUGGGUGACCCACUGGGAAGUUGCUCGUGAGUUCCUAGA
rnacentral:rRNA from 1 species